UGGGAAUGUGAUUAUUAAGGCUUCAAAAACAGCAACGCUAGAAAAUAUCAAGGCAAGUUACCCACAACAGAGAUUCAAAGCUGCUGAUGGAAAACCAUGCAAAAAACUUGCCUUGCUGGGGGAAAAGGGAGAGGAUUUGGUGUUAGAAGUUCCCUUAGGCAUAACAGUUGAACAUCAAAAUAAAAUAAUAGGUGAUCUGGAUGAGGAAGGGAUGGAAUUUAUUGUGGCCAAAGGGGGAUCUGGAGGGAGCCCUGCCAAUGGAUUCCUGGGGGUAAAGGGGGAAACUAAAACAGUUGACUUAAACCUCAAGUUAAUAGCAGACAUUGGUCUUGUGGGGCAAGUAUUGGAGAAGGAACUCAGGGAAUUCUUUAUCAUCUACAUGUACAGCUUAAAAAAAUCCUCUCAGUUCUCUAUCUUGUUCACCGAAUAAUGAAUUCAGUUCAGAAUCAUAUAUUUUAAUUGGAUAGAUUUCCAAAUGCUGGGAAGUCAACAUUUGGUUCAGCAGUAACAACAUCAGGUGGAUGGAAAAUAGCAGAUUACCCGUUCACAACUAUAAAACCGCGGAUAGCGUGGAUGGACUACAAAGAUGGCCGGAAGGUCGCAGUGGCCGAUCUCCCCGGUCUGAUUGAGGGGGCAUGGGAAAAUGUCGGAAUGGGGCACAGAUUUCUAAAACACAUUGAACGCACCAAGCUCCUCCUCUUCCUGGUUGAUAUCAAUGGAUUCCAGCUCAAUACCAGGUUUCCAUUCAGGGACCCCAUUGAAACCAUACUCAUUUUGAACAGGGAAGUAGAAAUGUAUAAACACCACUUGGUGGACAAACCGGCCGUGUUGGCACUCAACAAAAUAGACUGUGACCACGAUGGAUCUAUUGUUAAAGACAUCAUUGAAAGAAUCAAAAGCUUACCAGACAGCAUUUCCAAUUAUCCUAGUGAUUUACAGCCACACAAAUUGAUACAAUUUGAGGAUAUUCUGACCAUAUCUACUAAAGAAGGAACUAACAUUUUAAAUGCCAAACUACGAUUAAGAGAGAUAUUAGACACUCAUUUUGUUGCAGAAAUUGAAUAUCCUCUAGAUAAAUGGCAACAUGAUAUGACAGAGCAUAGAAAAAUUGAUAAAACAGCUUAAGCCAUGUUUAUCCUUCAUGUGUUUUAAGACUAGACAAUGUUAAGUUAUUCCUUGGCUCCAUUUGUGCCAGAUUUGUAAAUGAAACGGUUCUUAUGCCAAGGUUCUUAUUGUUAUGAUUGUUUAUAUAUAUACUAGGAUUUGGAAAUUCAGAGAUUCAGUUACUCGACGAAAAGUAAAACGAAAUUUGAAGUUGAUAUACAUGUAAAUAAAGUCCAGCUUCAAAAUAU
rnacentral:misc_RNA from 1 species